rnacentral:lncRNA from 1 species
UCGUUGUUGUUCUUGUUGUUGUUGUUCUUGUUGUUGUUGUUGUUGUUGUUUUUGUUGUUGUUGUUGUUGUCGUUGCUAUCGUUGUUGUAGUUGUUGUCAAUGUCGUCGUUGUUGUUGUUGUUGUUGUUGUUGUUGUUGUUGUUGUUGUUGUUGUUGUUGUGGUUGUUGUUGUUGUUGUUGUUGUUGUCGUCGUUGUCGUUGUUGUUGUUGUUGUGGUUGUUGUUGUUGUUGUUGUUGUUGUCGUCGUUGUCGUUGU